rnacentral:tRNA from 1 species
CUGGCUAUGGCGCAGUUUGGUAGCGCGCUUGCUUCGGGAGCAAGAGGUCCCGGGUUCAAAUCCCGGUAGCCAGACCA